rnacentral:rRNA from 1 species
GGCUCAGGACGAACGCUGGCGGCGUGCUUAACACAUGCAAGUCGAACGAAGCUUGAUUCGGAGUCCUUCGGGAUGAAGAAAGAUAUGACUGAGUGGCGGACGGGUGAGUAACGCGUGAGUAACCUGCCUUUCAGAGGGGAAUAACGUUUGGAAACGAACGCUAAUACCGCAUAACAUCGGGAUAUCGCAUGGUGACCCGAUCAAAGAUUUUAUCGCUGAGAGAUGGACUCGCGUCCGAUUAGGUAGUUGGUGGGGUAAAGGCCUACCAAGCCGACGAUCGGUAGCCGGACUGAGAGGUUGAACGGCCACAUUGGGACUGAGACACGGCCCAGACUCCUACGGGAGGCAGCAGUGGGGAAUAUUGCACAAUGGGCGCAAGCCUGAUGCAGCAACGCCGCGUGAGGGAAGACGGUCUUCGGAUUGUAAACCUUUGUCUUUGGUGAAGAAGGAAGUGACGGUAGCCAAGGAGGAAGCCACGGCUAACUGCGUGCCAGCAGCCGC